rnacentral:rRNA from 1 species
UUGGAGGGCAAGUCUGGUGCCAGCAGCCGCGGUAAUUCCAGCUCCAAUAGCGUAUAUUAAAGUUGUUGCAGUUAAAAAGCUCGUAGUUGAACCUCGGGGUCUACCCAUUGGUCAGGCUUAAUUGUCUGCACUGGUGAGAUGGAUCUCUACCUUCUGAGGAACUUUCAUGCCAUUCAUUUGGUGUGAUGGGAAAUCAGGACUGUUACUUUGAAAAAAUUAGAGUGUUUAAAGCAGACUAUCGUCUGAAUACAUUAGCAUGGAAUAAUGAAAUAGGACGGACUGAUUCUAUUUCGUUGGUUUCUAGGAUCACCGUAAUGAUUAAUAGGGAUAGUUGGGGGCAUUAGUAUUCAAUUGUCAGAGGUGAAAUUCUUGGAUUUAUUGAAGACUAACUACUGCGAAAGCAUUUGCCAAGGAUGUUUUCAUUAAUCAAGAACGAAAGUUAGGGGAUCGAAGACGAUCAGAUACCGUCGUAGUCUUAACCAUAAACUAUGCCGACUAGGGAUCGGAUGAUGUUGAUUUUUUAAUGACUCAUUCGGCGCCUUACGGGAAAC